GAAUUGCGCCGUGAAUCACCCAUAUGAUUGUCAAUUUAAAACAUAAUUUUGCAAGUCAAGAAAGUCUCAGUUUGUUGUAAAACUGUUUAAGUGUCAGACUGUGAAAAUACGUGAUUAGAAAGACAACACAAGUCGUGUAAGUGACGUCUCUCUCACUGAAAGAUGAUGCCUGUGUGUUUCGUACUAGCAUAUACCCACAUGAGAAACGGGUCUCGCUCGUUCUUUAGCUUCCCGGCUGAUAAAAAGACUAUCGUGACUACCGUACAUAUUUUUUCAGAAAUCAGGUCCCAUGGGGGUCCACCGGAAGGGGCGGGACUUCGCCUCUCUGUUAGAUCUGGUUGCAGGCUUGGAUCACUGCCAGCAAUCAUGUAAAAAGGAUUCUGACAAGAGAGGGAUUAUUACUGCUGUUGGCUGAUCUGAUGUUCCUUUACAAAAUCCUCCCCACAAUAAAAUAAAAAGAGAUAGAACAGCGACGGUAGAGAGACUGUGCUGAAGGCAGACACUACUUCGGGCAUUUGAAAUAGCACUAACCCAUUUACCCAGGAUAUAUAUUGGCUAAAUCUGACGAGAUCAUAUAUUGGAUCAUCACAUCUCUCCACUAAGCUAUAUAUGUGUCUGACUGUUUAGAAUAGCUCUACAGAGGCCCAGUGUGUCUGAAUAAACCUGUUAUUACACAUGCAAA